UAUGGCUCAGUUUAUUGAAGACUCCAGCCUCCAGGACUGGAAGGUGAUUUGGUUUCGGCUAAAUCUACAAAGCCAGGCAUCGUCAGUGGGCCUGUGACGUGGCCAUUAAACUGCUUCGUUAUGACGACGGAGCAAACAUGGACCUGGCAGCAAGUUAAAAUCAAGUACAAAAACAUCUUGCAGACUGCAGUAAAAAAAAAGACCCAUACGUCUGGCACGGGGGGUGGCCCUGCUACCCCAGGAUUAACCCCAGCAGAGGAGUUGGCCCUUGACAUGAACAAAGGGAGGCCUGUAAUUAAAGGGAUCCA